rnacentral:rRNA from 1 species
GCGCAGCAGUCGCGAAUUUUUCUCAAUGGGGGAAACCCUGAAGGAGCGACGCCGCGUGGAGGAUGAAGGUCUUCGGAUUGUAAACUCCUGUCAUUUGGGAACGAAGUUGCAUCGAUUAACUGUCGAUGCAUUGAUAGUACCAGAAGAGGAAGAGACGGCUAACUCUGUGCCAGCAGCCGCGGUAAUACAGUGGUCUCUAAGCGUUGUUCGGAUUCAUUGGGCGUAAAGGGUGCGUAGGUGGCGGGGUAAGUCAGGUGUGAAAUCUCGAGGCUCAACCUCGAAACUGCACUUGAUACUGCCUUGCUAGAGUACUGGAGAGGAGAUUGGAAUUUACGGUGUAGCAGUGAAAUGC